UCCGUUGUGAUUUUCCUGACCUGGUCGUGGGGUCCCUCUCUGGAGAGCAGCUGCAAAGGCCACCCCUGUCCUGAGGGGCGGUGGCCAGGGAUGCACCGAUGCUUCUUCACCCUGGUGGGCGGCCCGAUGCCCACGUGUCUGACCCUGACCAGGUGUCCCGCUCGCAGGAAGCAGGUGCCCUUGUGGCUCCUGUCUGACUGUGUCUAGUUCAUCGCUACCAAGACGGCCUCGCUCUAGGAGCCCUGGUCAGGAGGAAGUUAGGUCUGGGUGUGUGAUCAGGGGGGACCCAGAGGCGGCAGCUCCACCAAGCACAGGAGACAGCAGCAGCAGCAGGUCUAUUCCGUGCAGAUGCCGAGAGGAGAGGGCAGCAGCCUCGCAGCCGUGGUCAGGGGCACGUGCACUCCACCGGCCGAUGAGUGCAGAGAGAGAGCCCCGGGGGCCAAGCCCAAAGCAGGUUCCCCACAGGGAGCCCCAGUUGUGCCCAGCGAAGACUUGUUGGGUGAACGAAUUCGUGUCUCCGCUGGACACACCUGACUCGCUUUCAAGUCCUGGUGUCGAGCUGGGCGGCAAGCAGAUUGCUGGGAGAACGCAGGGGCCAAUCGAGGAAACACCCCGCUGCGGGAAGGACGCUUCUGUGCACCGCAGAGGGUUCCCAGGCGCAGUUGCUCGCGCACAGACAGCCGCUUGCUGAGCCGACAGGCAUUGCCGCCCGAGUGGCUGAGGGUUGAGUGACGAGUGGAAAGCGCGUGGCAGUGGGCGGUGCCUGCACCCUGAGACCACGAGUCACCGUGAAAGGUGCUGCGUUUAAGAGCGUACGUUUCCCGACGGGCUCAGGACCAGUUCUGGUGCGUUAGCCCGGGCUUGCUCUGCGCCACUUCACCUGCGCCCGGUUCCCUAGCGCUUCUUACCUCUCCAAGGGGCGGGGCGGGGAAAUCUCCUCCACUGGAGCUGUUCCCUUGCGCCCGUCCCUUUGCUCUGGGGUCUGUGCUGGGUUUCUGUGGCUGAUGUAAGGAAGUGUCCCAACUGGGGGGCUUAGAUGUCAGAAUGUGUCCUCUCACAAUUUGGAAACCAAGAAUCCAGGUGUCUCUAAGGUGGGGGGGCCCUCCCCUGCUCCCCCCAGCGUCUGGCUAGUGCUGGCAACGCUCGGUGUUCCUCCGCUUGUGCCGGCGUCACUCGUCUCUUCAUGUGGCCGCCUUCCUGUGCUUCUCUGUGGCACCCCCACCCAUCCCAUACGGCCAGCAGUCCUUGGACUUAGGGCCCACCCCGCUCCGGUGCGACCUCAUCUUCCCCUCACCACAUCUGCGAGGACCCUCGUUCCGAAUAAGGCCCCGCUCUCAGCAUGCUGUGGUGACCACGCCGGGCAGGAGGCACUCGCUGCCUUUGGUGCUGCGGCAGUUCUCAAACUGCGCCCUCGUCGGCACCCCUGUGUUGGGCCUCGCCGGCGGGGGUGCAGGUUGGCGUGGGCUGGGUCACUCACGCUGCCUUCUUUGCUCUUUGCCUUUUCCCUCCUUGUUUUUUCCCUGCUGAAGAUAAGAAUAACAUUGGAAGUCACGAUGAAAUCACAGUUCAUAACCUGAAGGGCCGCAAGGAUUAAUGACACGGUGGCACCGUAGACAUGCCGUCCUGGAGCCAGAUGCCCGGCCUCCCCCUGCUCUUCCCCACGUCCUUGCUGUGGGACACUCGCCUCUGUGGCUUCCUGUGCACCCAGCCCCCACCUGACUCUCCCCCGUCGAAUGGCCCAGUGACGCGUGCCCUGCGAGAAGAUGGCCUGGGUUGAACAGACCCCUCCCCCCGGAGAGAAUCUAAGUCUUAGCACGAUUCACACGCUAUCGACACGGGGUUCGGCCAGUCCUGGCUGUGUCAGGGCGUGUCCUGUGCACAGGGGGGUCCAGCAGCAUCCCUAGCCUUGACCUACCAGAUGCUAGUGACGUUGGCUCCUGGUCCCAACAGCCCAAAAUAACUCCAGACAUUACCCAACAUCCCGGGCGGGGAGCAGAGUCGCCCCGAGUUGACAAAUGCCGGCCCGGUGCCCCUGACUGUGGGCUGCAGAGGUCGGGGGGAGCCCAGGGGGAGGCCGCAUCAGGCGCACUCGGGGAGGCAGCACAGGCUGUGCGGAGGGACCGUGAGCUCAGCCGAGGGUGGCGGAGGGCACAUGGGGGCAGGAGCCGAGGAGCGGCGUGGCAUGCUGCUUCGGUGGCACCCCAGCAGGAGGCCGUUCCGGGUGUCUGCCACCAUCCCCGUGGGGUCCAGCCCUGCUCUCCCCGUCCCACCCCUGCAGAAGCAUUUGUCAGCGAAGCCCGGUUGCCCUCACCACCGUGAGAACGGGGUUACGACCAUCCAGAUCUUGCCACCCCGCAGGCCGGCAUCAGGCGGGCCGCAGGUUCCGGGUGGUUCUGAAUGCCCCAACUGUGCGGUCACUGCACUUUCGCUCCCACUCAGGCAAGCAUGUGUGCGCCACGCGUGUGUCCCUUUACUGGACGCCCCCUAUGGCGUCGGUGCACCUCACAGCUGAUCAGCAUGCUCGGAGCGCUGGGAUCCACCGCCCUCCGGGGCCCUCACUCCGUGUCCCGCCGCGCAGCGUUAGGGGUGACGCGAUGGAAGGUGAACGUGCCAGACACGUCGAGAUGCCCCCGGCGCUCACUAGCAGCUGGCGCGAGAAUGGGCUGAACAGACGCUUCCCUGCAGGAGAGAUGCGGACGGCAGGUGAGCACGGUCAGAGAUGCUCGGCACCGUCAGUCACUCGGGAAACGCAACCUAAAUGACAGCAAGAUGGCACCGCACGCGCCUCGAUCGAAUAUGCAAUGUCAGAUGUCCACAAGGGUGCAGAGCAACCGGACUCCUCCUACCUCGCUGGUGGGAAUGUAAAAUGGUGCAACCCCUUGAGACAACAGUUUGGUGGUUUCUUAUGCAGUGAAACAUGCCAUGGCCCAACAAUUUCACCCCUAGAUAUUGACACAAGGGAAAAGAAAACACAGAAAACGCAGCCUUAUCACCCAAAUUGGAAGCCACCCGAAGGUCCCUCGACCGGUGCUUGGAUAAAGAAAUGGCACUAUGUCCACGCAGUGGAAGACUGCUCAGCACGGAACGAUUGCCGACACGAGAACACGGAUGCUCUCAGAAGCGCCGUGCUGGGUGAAAAGAUGCCAGACGCUAAAAGCUCCGAACUGUACGACUGCAUUUGUGUGGCUUCUGGAAAAGGCAAAACUGCAGGGCAUAGAUCAGGGGUGCUGAGGGUGGGGGAGAUGAUUGACAGCCAGUCAAAGGAGGGAGCUUUUGAAAGUGAUGGGCACGAUCCGUCUUGGUGGUGGUGGCGUUACUGUGCCCGGCUACACCUGCCAACAUUUACAGAGCACAGAGCUAAGACAAUGAGUUACGCCUCAUGUGCCUCCCACCUCAAUAAAUCCGCCUUAAAGAGACCAAAAAAAAA